UGUAUGUAUGCACAUGCAAUUCCUACAUUAUGUUUGAAAUGUUGUAAUGGGGACGGAAAAGCCGUCACUUUUA
rnacentral:tRNA from 1 species